rnacentral:lncRNA from 1 species
AUACUAUUAAACCAACCACCCACUCAACCCUAGGGGACCACUAUCAAUUUAACCGGGGACCACUAUCAUCCUAACCGCACAUCUAUUCAUCCAACGGCCGAAAACUCAAUAGUACCAAGGGCUUGGUACAAUUGAUAGUAUAGUAGCAUAAUUCUAUAUAUAUAUAUACAUAUAUAUAUAUAUAUCCCCUAGGGUUGAGUGGGUGGUUGGUUUAAUAGUAUAAUCUAACGGGUGAAAAUGAUCAAAGGGUAGAUCUAACGGUAGAAAACUCAAUAGUACCAAGGGCUUGGUACUAUCGAUAGUAUAGUAACCGGACUCUCUCUCUCUCUCUCUCUCUCUCUCUCUCUCUCUAUAUAUAUAUAUAUAUAUAUAACUUUAUAUGAUAU